rnacentral:tRNA from 1 species
GGGAGGAUAGCUCAGCGGUAGAGCGCCGCCCUUACAAGGCGGAUGUCCUGGGUUCGAAUCCCUGUCCUCCCA